rnacentral:rRNA from 1 species
GAUUUCAUAGAUAUUUUUAAAUGUUGAAAUUUUUUAAAAUAUUUUUGGGGAGUGAUACGCUUUAGUUUCUUAGGUUAUCUAGUUUGUCUUGUUUAAAAGGGAAACCUUUUUAAUUUUUUAGGUUCUGUGUUUAUUGUGUUUUUUUUAAUAGUAAGUGAUUGUGUAAUAACUUGUUGGUUUAUUUUAUCUGAAAAUUUUAUUUGUUUCAUAACGUUGACGAUCAAUUAGUAGAUUAGUAGAUUAUUGAGAUUUGUCUUGAUAGUUUUUUGAAUUUUAUUGUUUAAAAUUAUUUAUUUUUACUGAUUUUUUCUUAGAUUGGUUAAUAAAAUCUUAGCUACAAAAUUUGUAGUUAUUUCUGCUCUAUGCGAAAAGUAAAUGGCUGUUUUGACACUAAGGUAGCGAAAUCAUUAGUUAUUUAAUUGAUAACUUGUAUGAAUGAAUUUUCUAAGAGAAUAUUAAUUUUCUUUUUGAACUUAUAAAUUUAUUGAAAAUAAUAAAUUUUCCUAUAAGACUAAAAGACCCUAAAAUUUUUAUAACCCUGGUGUGGGUUAUUUGGUUGGGGCAAUAAUAAAAAGUUAAUUCUAAAUAAUUUUUUUUUCUUUGAACUUUUUUUAUUGAUAAAAGGUAAAAUACUUUAGGGAUAACAGCUUAAUUAUUUUUAAGAGUUCUUAUUAUUAAAAUAGAUUUAGACCUCGAUGUUGGAUUGGGGUGACUUUCUGGGGCAG